rnacentral:lncRNA from 1 species
AUUAAUUUGAAAUUAUUUGGUCAGCUAUAGGUAUUGAAUUUUCAGUGAUGUGGAUAUUCUUCUCCCAUAUGAAAGAUUAGGGUUUUUUACUUGAUGCUACAAAAAGACAGUCCUAUAGCAAUUAAUAAAGCAAAAUUUGUGGUCCUGUCAGCUCAGCACUGAGACGAUAAUACAGAACUUCCUUUCCUGACAAAUAAUCAAAAAAAGUUUCAUUUUCAACUAUAGAUUAUUUUUGUAAUCAAUAACUGCUCUCAUUUUUUAACAAGGCUAGCUUUACAGAAAAUGCUUACUGCUUUCAGUUGCUUUCUCUUUGCAGUUUUUCCGGAACAGAAUUCUUCAUUUGCAGCAAAGGGUUCCCACACACACAGAGGUCUGCUUUAUGAUGGGUUCAGAGCAAAACCCCACAAGCAAUUGAGCUGACACAACAGGAGUGGUAGACUGCUAUGACAUGGAUUUUAUGGAAUCACAGAAUGGCUAAGGCUGGGAGAGGCAUCUGAAGGUCAUCUUGUCCACCCCCCUGCACUUUUCCAGGAUUGUGUCUGGGUGGAUUUUGAACAUGUCCAAUGAUGGAGACUUUGCAGUCUCUCUGGCCAACCAGUUCCAGUGCUCAGUCACCCUCACAGUAAAAAAUUUCAAGCUUCACUGUCAUUAAAUAUUUUGUGUGAUGACUGCCUGCUCUAAAUUAGAACUAAGAAGCAUUUGUAGAAGUUCAUGACUACCUCCCGGUUCAGGUCUUACAGUUAGACUUCGAAAUCCUGUGUCUGUGUAACACUGCCUGUGUCAGUCUCUUGGAAUGCAUCUGUCCUAGUCAGUUCUAGUAUGCUUCAGAAUGCAUGGGAAUGUGUUUGUCCUUGCUAGGCUAAUCCCACAGUAGGCCAGUCCUACACUUGCUAGGCCAAUCUCAGCACACUCCCUAAAAAAAUC